rnacentral:rRNA from 1 species
UUGAUACCCUAUUAUACUAAACGUAGAAUAUUAUAUGCUUGAGUAGUAAUCAGUUAUGUUCUUGAAAUUUAAAGGAUUUGGCGGUAUUCAAGUCUAGUUAGAGGAACCUGUUCUUUAAACGAUAUGCCACGAAUAAUCUUACUUUUUUUUGUUCUCAGUUUGUAUACCGCCAUUAUUAGGUAAUGUUUUAAAAUAUUUACUGUAAUAGUUUCCUUUAGUAUAUUAGGUCAAGGUGCAGCCAAUAGAAAAGUAGUUAUGGGUUACAUUUUAUUUUAUAAUUCGGAUGAGGUGUUGAAUUGUAUCUUUAAAGUCGGAUUUAAUUGUAAUCCUGUUUUAAUAAGUCAGGUUGAUAAUAGCUCUAGAGUAUGUACACACGCCCCGCUCUAAA